rnacentral:rRNA from 1 species
AGCGAACGCUGGCGGCAGGCCUAACACAUGCAAGUCGAACGAACCUUUCGGGGUUAGUGGCGGACGGGUGAGUAACACGUGGGAACGUGCCUUUAGGUUCGGAAUAACUCAGGGAAACUUGUGCUAAUACCGAAUGUGCCCUUCGGGGGAAAGAUUAAUCGCCUUUAGAGCGGCCCGCGUCUGAUUAGCUAGUUGGUUGAGGUAAUGGCUCACCAAGGCGACGAUCAGUAGCUGGUCUGAGAGGAUGAUCAGCCACAUUGGGACUGAGACACGGCCCAAACUCCUACGGGAGGCAGCAGUGGGGAAUCUUGCGCAAUGGGCGAAAGCCUGACGCAGCCAUGCCGCGUGAAUGAUGAAGGUCUUAGGAUUGUAAAAUUCUUUCACCGGGGACGAUAAUGACGGUACCCUGAGAAGAAGCCCCGGCUAACUUCGUG